UACAGAGGGUGCGAGCGUUGUCCGGAAUCACUGGGCGUAAAGGGUGAGUAGGUGGCCUGUUAAGCGUGUGGUGAAAGCCUGGGGCUCAACCCCAGGUCUGCCGUGCGAACUGACAGGCUUGAGCAGAGUAGAGGCGAGUGGAAUUCCUGGUGUAGCGGUGAAAUGCGUAGAUAUCAGGAGGAACACCGGUGGCGAAGGCGGCUACCUGGACAGAGUCUGACGCUGAGGCACGAAAGCUAGGGGAGCAAACAGG
rnacentral:rRNA from 1 species